rnacentral:rRNA from 1 species
GAUGAACGCUGGCGGCGUGCCUAAUACAUGCAAGUCGAGCGAACGGACGAGAAGCUUGCUUUUCUGAUGUUAGCGGCGGACGGGUGAGUAACACGUGGAUAACCUACCUAUAAGACUGGGAUAACUUCGGGAAACCGGAGCUAAUACCGGAUUAUAUUUUGAACCGCAUGGUUCAAAAGUGAAAGACGGUCUUGCUGUCACUUAUCGAUGGAUCCGCGCUGCAUUAGCUAGUUGGUAAGGUAACGGCUUACCAAGGCAACGAUGCAUAGCCGACCUGAGAGGGUGAUCGGCCACACUGGAACUGAGACACGGUCCAGACUCCUACGGGAGGCAGCAGUAGGGAAUCUUCCGCAAUGGGCGAAAGCCUGACGGAGCAACGCCGCGUGAGUGAUGAAGGUCUUCGGAUCGUAAAACUCUGUUAUUAGGGAAGAACAUAUGUGUAAGUAACUGUGCACAUCUUGACGGUACCUAAUCAGAAAGCCACGGCUAACUACGUG